rnacentral:pre_miRNA from 1 species
UUACUACUCCCUUCGUCCGGAAAUACUUGUCGAAAAAAUGGAUAAAAAUGAAUGUAUUUAGAACUAAGAUAUGUCUAGAUACAUCCAUUCUUUCGACAAGUAUUUCCGGACGGAGGGAGUACUAC